rnacentral:rRNA from 1 species
AUUGAACGCUGGCGGCAGGCCUAACACAUGCAAGUCGAACGAGUGGCGGACGGGUGAGUAAUGUCGGGGAAACUGCGCGAGGGGGGGGGAUAACUACGGGAAACGGUAGCUAAUACCGCAUACCAUCGGAUGUGCCCAGAUGGGAUGAGCUAGGAGGGGGGGUAACGGCUCAACUAGGCGACGAUCCCUAGAUGGUCUGAGAGGAGGACCAGCCACACUGGAACUGAGACACGGUCCAGACUCCUACGGGAGGCAGCAGUGGGGAAUAUUGCACAAUGGGCGCAAGCCUGAUGCAGCCAUGCCGCGUGUAUGAAGAAGGCCUUCGGGUUGUAAAGUACUUUCAGCGAGGAGGCGUUACUCGCAGAAGAAGCACCGGCUAACUCCGUGCCAGCAGCCGCGGUAAUUC